UACGAAGGGGGCUAGCGUUGCUCGGAAUCACUGGGCGUAAAGGGUGCGUAGGCGGGUCUUUAAGUCAGAGGUGAAAUCCUGGAGCUCAACUCCAGAACUGCCUUUGAUACUGAGGGUCUUGAGUAUGACAGAGGUGAGUGGAACUGCGAGUGUAGAGGUGAAAUUCGUAGAUAUUCGCAAGAACACCAGUGGCGAAGGCGACUUACUGGACACAUAUUGACGCUGAGGUGCGAAAGCGUGGGGAGCGAACAGG
rnacentral:rRNA from 1 species